UAUCCUACGGGGGGCAGCAGUGGGGGAUAUUGCACAAUGGGGGAAACCCUGAUGCAGCGACGCCGCGUGGGUGAAGAAGCGCCUCGGCGCGUAAAGCCCUGUCAGCAGGGAAGAAAAUGACGGUACCUGAAGAAGAAGCCCCGGCUAACUACGUGCCAGCAGCCGCGGUAAUACGUAGGGGGCAAGCGUUAUCCGGAUUUACUGGGUGUAAAGGGGGCGCAGACGGCGAUGCAAGCCAGGAGUGAAAGCCCGCGGCCCAACCGCGGGACUGCAUUGGGAACUACCGGGCUGGAGUGCCGGAGAGG
rnacentral:rRNA from 1 species